rnacentral:rRNA from 2 species
UUGAUCCUGGCUCAGAUUGAACGCUGGGGGCAGGCCUAACACAUGCAAGUCGAGCGGAAACGAGUUAUCUGAACCUUUGGGGGACGAUAACGGCGUCGAGCGGCGGGCGGGUGAGUAAUGCCUAGGAAAUUGCCCUGAUGUGGGGGAUAACCAUUGGAAACGAUGGCUAAUACCGCAUAACACCUUCGGGUCAAAGAGGGGGACCUUCGGGCCUCUCGCGUCAGGAUAUGCCUGGUGGGAUUAGUUAGUUGGUGAGGUAAUGGCUCACCAAGGCGACGAUCCCUAGCUGGUCUGAGAGGAUGAUCAGCCACACUGGAAAUGAGACACGGUCCAGACUCAUACGGGAGGCAGCAGUGGGGAAUAUUGCACAAUGGGCGCAAGCCUGAUGCAGCCAUGC